UGAUCAUGAUCUUCUUCUGCAGGGAAAGAGAAGAGCAACGGUCUGAGGUCUGUGUUUCUCACACCAGCAAUCCCAGGACACUCUCCAGCUGCAGUGGGCCCAGCAGUUGUGAUUUCGAGGAAAAUGAGGAAACCUCCUGCAGACCUCCCGCAGACCUCCCGCAGACCUCCC